rnacentral:tRNA from 1 species
GCCGAGGUAAUCCAACGGAAGAGAUAGUGGUCUUAGAAGCCAUACAGUGAGGGUUCGAAUCCCUCUCUCGGUA